CUUAGAGGAACUGUCCCCGGUACUGAACACACACUGCUUUCACUGCUUAGAGGAACUGUCCCUGGUACUGAACACACACUGCUUUCACUGCUUAGAGGGACUGUCCCAGGUACUGAACACACACUGCUUUCACUGCUUAGAGGGAUUGUCCCAGGUACUGAACACACACUGCUUUCACUGCUUAGAGGGAUUGUCCCAGGU